ensembl:lncRNA
GUUUGAUUUUGUAGGUCUCAGCGGCAGAAGGAACGGUGGCAGGGAAAUCCCACGGGAACCACACGGAUGCUUUGAGAACGUCUGAUGCACAGAGACGGCGAGACUCACCUGGCUAUUGUGCAUUCUCUGCUCAUUUCAAAGCACUUGAUGGCUCUAAACCGGCACAGUGUCCAAACUUGACAUUCAACCGAUGUUUCUGUGGCAACCAGAAGAGAGUGAAUCAUGUGGAUUAUGAGGAGGCCGACUGAACCGAGGAACUCGCUGCUUCAUCCGAGAGCAGAGCAGAUCAUACAUUUACUCCAUAUCACUCGCACUCCAGCCUUAAUUACUAUGAAAAUAGAGUCAUAUAUAUUUAUUAUAAAAAGCUUCUGAUUAAAAGAUGAAUUUCACAAUAUCACAAUUCAAAAAAAUAAAAAAAGGAAAAAUUCAAAGACAAAAAGGUCCAAGCGAACUAACAUGUGCAUCGUGUGAAUUUCUGUAUAAGCGAUUUCCUACAUCAUUUACAUUUACAUUUAAUCAUUAAGCAGACGCUGUUAUCUAAAACAACUUACAAAUGAGAACAAUAGAAGCAAUCAGACCAAUGAGAGAACAACAACAGUAUACAAGUGCCAUGACAAGUCUCAGUUAGUGUAGCGCAGUACACGUAGCUAU